UACGAAGGGGGCUAGCGUUGCUCGGAAUCACUGGGCGUAAAGCGCACGUAGGCGGACUCUUAAGUCGGUGGUGAAAUCCUGGAGCUCAACUCCAGAACUGCCUUCGAUACUGGGAGUCUCGAGUUCGGGAGAGGUGAGUGGAACUGCGAAGUGUAGAGGUGAAAUUCGUAGAUAUUCGCAAGAACACCAGUGGCGAAGGCGGCUCACUGGCCCGAUACUGACGCUGAGGCACGGAAAGCGUGGGGAGCAAACAGGG
rnacentral:rRNA from 1 species